GAUGAACGCUGGCGGCGUGCCUAAUACAUGCAAGUCGAGCGAAUGGAUUAAGAGCUUGCUCUUAUGAAGUUAGCGGCGGACGGGUGAGUAACACGUGGGUAACCUGCCCAUAAGACUGGGAUAACUCCGGGAAACCGGGGCUAAUACCGGAUAACAUUUUGAACCGCAUGGUUCGAAAUUGAAAGGCGGCUUAGGCUGUCACUUAUGGAUGGACCAGCGUCGCAUUAGCUAGUUGGUGAGGUAACGGCUCACCAAGGCAACGAUGCGUAGCCGACCUGAGAGGGUGAGCGGCCACACUGGGACUGAGACACGGCCCAGACUCCUACGGGAGGCAGCAGUAGGGAAUCUUCCGCAAUGGACGAAAGUCUGACGGAGCAACGCCGCGUGAGUGAUGAAGGCUUUCGGGUCGUAAAACUCUGUUGUUAGGGAAGAACAAGUGCUAGUUGAAUAAGCUGGCACCUUGACGGUACCUAACCAGAAAGCCACGGCUAACUACGUGCCAGCCGCCGCGGUAA
rnacentral:rRNA from 1 species